rnacentral:rRNA from 1 species
UACGGAGGGUGCAAGCGUUAAUCGGAAUUAUUGGGCGUAAAGCGCACGCAGGCGGUUUGUUAAGUCAGAUGUGAAAUCCCCGGGCUCAACCUGGGAACUGCAUUUGAAACUGGCAAGCUAGAGUCUCGUAGAGGGGGGUGGAAUUCCAGGUGUAGCGGUGAAAUGCGUAGAGAUCAGGAGGAAUACCGGUGGCGAAGGCGGCCCCCUGGACGAAAACUGACGCUCAGGUGCGAAAGCGUGGGGAGCGAACAGG